GACGUAGGGGGCGAGCGUUGUCCGGAUUUAUUGGGCGUAAAGAGCUCGUAGGCGGCUUGUCGCGUCGUCCGUGAAAACCAGGGGCUCAACCCCUGGCUUGCGGUCGAUACGGGCAGGCUAGAGUUCGGUAGGGGAGACUGGAAUUCCUGGUGUAGCGGUGAAAUGCGCAGAUAUCAGGAGGAACACCGGUGGCGAAGGCGGGUCUCUGGGCCGAUACUGACGCUGAGGAGCGAAAGCGUGGGGAGCGAAACAGG
rnacentral:rRNA from 1 species